rnacentral:rRNA from 1 species
CCUACGGGAGGCAGCAGUGGGGAAUAUUGCGCAAUGGGCGAAAGCCUGACGCAGCAACGCCGUGUGAGGGAUGAAGGCUUUCGGGUCGUAAACCUCUGUCGGAAGGGAAGAACGGAUAACGGUCCAAUAGGCCGUUAUUUUGACGGUACCUUCAGAGGAAGCACCGGCUAACUCCGUGCCAGCAGCCGCGGUAAU